UGCCGUUCCAGCAGCGCGACUGGAACAACCUGGUGUCCGCCAUCUUCAACCAAUACUUCUCGGCCACUUCCCAGCGGCCCGCGAACCCGAAGCGAUGGUAUCACGAGAUGAGUGCCCGAGUGAUGGAUGAGUAUCCUCAUCUGUUUGAGGGCAUGACAACGUUCCAAGGCCUGACGUUCGUAACGCAAAAACUCCGGUGCAAGUUCAAGAACGUGCGUUUUAAGAUCAACUCUUCGUGGAGGGCCCUCGGACUGCAGCGACACGCGCCAUCUAGCAACUCCACGCCAACUCAGCAGCUGGAGGGCACUGAAGCCGCGAACAUUCAGCUAGCUGUGGAAUCUGUCAAGUCGGAGGCGUGCCAGUCGGACGUCAGUGAACUCCUCAUCGUGCGAGGAGUGGAUUCAUCAGACAACUCGUCAGAAGUCAUCCAGUUUGACGACCAAUGAACUCUCGAAUGUGAACCACCUGGCACCACUAUGAAUCUAAGUCACUCGCAAAGUUAGGCUUUGUGGUGAUGCAAUGACUUAUGUGAUCGCACCCCGCGUUAACGUGUUUCGGAAAAGACCGUAGAUCAGCUUCGCUUUGCUUUCCGUCAAACUACGUACCUAGUCAUGCGUAGAAAGUGGGCGACUUUUGGACGUAUGCCAUCGGUGCCCCCAUGUAUUGUCUUGAGGGCCAUGUCUGUAGGAACUCCGCCGUGUUUAUGCAUGUUUGCGCUAUCAUGGCACUGACCUCUCAGUGCAGCUUGCUAAGGCAGAGCACGACCCUCGCGCACCACUUUGGCUGAUUGCUUAUUCGAAAUGCAUUGGCGCGCCUUGAAGACAGGCAUAUCUCUUCAGCAUCUGGCCGCGCAGGCCUGAGUAAAUGUUUAGGCAUUGGUCAAGGGACUAACGCACUGCGUACGAAUCGUUUGGCCCUUUCUGACAAACAGCUUAGCUGAGUCAAAUGAGCAUCUGUUUAGUUUGUUAGAGAUGCGAGUUUUCGCAAAUGGUGUAAGCAACGGAUCAGGGGCGUUGUUUUGCAAACUAAGUUAGUGGCUGAUCAGUGAAAAAAAAUGACCAGAACUUCUCCAAAAUAUGCCAGUAAUAUUGUUUCUUCCUAGAUUUAGCCAGCUUU